rnacentral:rRNA from 1 species
AGGACGAACGCUGGCGGCGUGCUUAACACAUGCAAGUCGAACGCUUCCGGGGCUUCGGUCGCGGAGGAGUGGCGCACGGGUGAGUAGCGCGUGGGAACCUGCCCUGUUGUGGGGGAUAACCGAGGGAAACUUCGGCUAAUACCGCAUACGCCCCGGGACUUGGUCUUCGGAUUAGGUCUGGGGGGAAAGAUUGAUCGCAGCAGGAGGGGCCCGCGUCGGAUUAGCUGGUUGGUGGGGUAACGGCUCACCAAGGCGAUGAUCCGUAGCUGGUCUGAGAGGAUGAUCAGCCACACUGGGACUGAGACACGGCCCAGACUCCUACGGGAGGCAGCAGUGGGGAAUAUUGGACAAUGGGGGCAACCCUGAUCCAGCAAUGCCGCGUGAGUGAUGAAGGCCUUAGGGUUGUAAAGCUCUUUCGCCCGCGACGAUGAUGACGGUAGCGGGAGAAGAAGCCCGGCUAACUCGUGCCAGCAGCCGCGGUAA